AGUAAAGUGCCUGAAUAAAGGAUUAUCGUGAUAGGAUAAAUUAUGUAAUUUUAUUACCUUUACUA
rnacentral:tRNA from 1 species